rnacentral:misc_RNA from 1 species
UCCCUUCUUUAUCCACACCAUGAUUACCAUGGGGGUAAUACAUCAAAACUUCAUUUAACUCUUUAAAUUCAAAAUCCUCCAUAAUAGUAUCAGCACCAAAUUCCUUCCUCCAUUGAAGCAUGUCGGCCCACAUGUGUUUUGCUUUUUCAAUGUCAAACUUCCUUGCUUUCAAGAACCUCAACAACAUAUGAUAAUCAUCAUGUCUUUCUGGUAGUAAUUCGUCCAUGAUCAAUG